ACGCUCGACACCUACGGGGCAGCAGUGGGGAAUAUUGCACAAUGGGGGAAACCCUGAUGCAGCGACGCCGCGUGGAGGAAGAAGGUCUUCGGAUUGUAAACUCCUGUUGUUGGGGAAAAAGAGGAUGGUACCCAACAAGGAAGUGACGGCUAACUACGUGCCNGCAGCCGCGGUAAUCUGAGCGGGCUGGCAAGGC
rnacentral:rRNA from 1 species